GGGGGCGAAACGGGUUCGACGGGAGUAAAGAAGUAUAAGUUGCAUGCCGAGGUCCUGGCUGCUCGUUAAACAGGCAGGGAUAAACACAAACGCAGACGACUACGCGUAUGCCGUAGCCGCUUAAGCGGCUACCGUUCCACCGGCUAGAGCCCGCGCGGCCGGAUGGGGCGCCGACUCAGCGGGAUGGUUUCUGGGAUGACGCCGACAGUCCCAGGGGCGAGAGACUAGUGGGCUAACUUGGGCAACAUCCGGCCUCAGGGAGGUUGCCCCGGUGACAAUCAGAACUGAGGAUACGCAUGUAGAAGCUUGUACGGAAUGCUUUCGGACGCGGGUUCAACUCCCGCCGCCUCCACCA
rnacentral:tmRNA from 1 species